AUGUACAUUCCUAUAGUGUUAAUGCAUUGGAUCCCAUUAGAACUUUGUAGUUAACUGCGUUUGUGCUAGAGUAGUACUAGGAUGGGUGACCUCCCGAGAAGUCCUAGUGUUUUACAUG
rfam:Picea glauca, whole genome shotgun sequence.